UGCCAGCCGCCGCGGUAAGACGGGAGGGGCAAGUGUUCUUCGGAAUGACUGGGCGUAAAGGGCACGUAGGCGGCAAGGUGGGUUGCACGUGAAAGCCCAGGGCCCAACCCUGGGAGUGCUUGCAAAACUGCUUUGCUUGGGUAUGGUAGGGGAGAGUGGAAUUCCUCGUGGAGGGGUAGAAUCCGUAGAGAUGAGGAGGAAGGCCGAACGCGAAGGCAGCUCUCUGGGCCAUAACCGACGCUGAGGUGCGAAAGCAUGGGGAGCAAACAGGAUUAGAUA
rnacentral:rRNA from 1 species